AUUUUUGUUAUACACCGCGACAACAGCGCCCCAAGCGGUGGAAAAGCUACGCUGCUGAACACGGUAUUCAGUAAAUGUAAGCAGUAUCGUUUAUAUUCAUUUUUAACACGGUUUUUACAAAAGGCAGCGUAUGUAGCACAGUCAGUUGCAGUAAUAAUUGGAAGAAGACACCACAGUUGUCAUUCUUCAGAUUUCCUAAGGACCCUGAAAGGAGCAAGAAAUGGUUAAUAAGUAGUAGAAGACAGGACCUGCUGCAAAAGGAUGUCCUAUAUUUGCACAAUAACGUGAAGUUUUGUGCGUUACAUUUCGAGUCAAACCAGUUCAUGAGCGCGGAAAAGAAGACAUUAGUAUGGAAUGCAGUACCUACGUUAUUUGACAUGCCGAAUAAGCCACAACUAGUGACAAUGGAGAGAAAAUUGCCAUACAGACGUGAAAGUGUUAUUGCAAAAACAAUAGAACUGUCUCCUAACACAGAAGAAACAGCUAGCACAAGUGUUCCUACACGAGAUACUUAAACAAAAUCACUAACAACGGAAUCUGCAACACAGACAUCUUUUGAAGAUGAAAUGCUUACCGUAGAUUACGUGAAAUUAUUCACGUGUUGGAAAAUCCUGUGAAAUGUAAAAACAUGCAAAUCAUUAGACUUCGUACAAAAUUACUACGUGACAAAGAAGGCGCCCAUCGUAAGAAUAAACUGCAACCACAACGUCACAGGACACAAGUACAAAAGGAAAAGCUCAUUUUAAAAAUUAUUGGUUCCAAGUACUUGAAAAAAGAUGCUCUCGAUUUAUUGAUAAGCCAAAUCAGUAUACCAUUGAAUGGAAAACAUGGUGUGAGAUGGAAAGAUGAAACUAAAUUAUUUGCACUUAAUUUGUGGUAUUAUAGUACUCAGGCAUACGUCAAAGAAUUUUUAACUCAUUGUGAGACGAAGAGGAAUUCCACUUUCGAUGAAUUUGCUCACAUAAGUAAUUGUGGUGCUUUCUUUGUGCACAUGUUGAUGGAACUUCCUGGCAGAUUAAAACGGUGUGCCCGUCCGAGACUCGAACUCGGGACCUUUCCCCUUCGCGGGCAAGUGCUCCACCAUCUGAGCUACUGAAGCACGACUCACACCCGGUACUCACAGCUUUACUUCUGCCAGUAUCUCGUCUCCUAUCUUCCAAACUUUACAGAAGCUCUCCUGCGAACCUAGCAGAAAUAGCGAUGUUGAUAGACAUCCCCAAUUUUCCACCUGGGUGCUGUGCUGAAACCAAGCUGCUGUUAAUAAGACUGUUUGUGAAAGUGAGGCUCCUUUACAUUAUUAAAUUCAGGAAUCAAGACUUAGUCUGUAGUAGCGAGAGAAGAAAUAAAAAAGUGAUUAUGCUGGCUCAUUUGGAUUGCUAAAGUGUGAGCACUGACUCAGUCAUUUAAUUUUAUUUUUGUUAAAUGUAUCAAUGGGAUAGAAUAAAGUUUUAAAAACA